CUCUGUGACUCCUACGGGAGGCAGCAGUGGGGGAAUAUUGCACAAUGGGCGCAAGCCUGAUGCAGCCAUGCCGCGUGUAUGAAGAAGGCCUUCGGGUUGUAAAGUACUUUCAGCAGUGAGGAAGGCGGGUACGUUAAUAGCGUGCUCGUUUGACGUUAGCUGCAGAAGAAGCACCGGCUAACUCCGUGCCAGCAGCCGCGGUAAUACGGAGGGUGCGAGCGUUAAUCGGAAUUACUGGGCGUAAAGCGCAUGCAGGUGGUUUGUUAAGUCAGAUGUGAAAGCCCCGGGGCUCAACCUCGGAAUUGCAUUUGAAACUGGCAGACUAGAGUACUGUAGAGGGGGUAGAAUUUCAGGUGUAGCGGUGAAAUGCGUAGAGAUCUGAAGGAAUACCGGUGGCGAAGGCGGCCCCCUGGACAGAUACUGACACUCAGAUGCGAAAGCGUGGGGAGCAAACAGGAUUAGAUACCCUGGUAG
rnacentral:rRNA from 1 species